UACGGAGGGGGCUAGCGUUGUUCGGAAUUACUGGGCGUAAAGCGCACGUAGGCGGCUUUGUAAGUUAGAGGUGAAAGCCCGGGGCUCAACUCCGGAAUUGCCUUUAAGACUGCAUCGCUCGAAUUGUGGAGAGGUAAGUGGAAUUCCGAGUGUAGAGGUGAAAUCGUAGAUAUUGCCAGGAACACCAAUGGCGAAGGCAGCUUGCUGGGCCUUUUCUGACGGCUGAGGCACGAAAGCGUGGGG
rnacentral:rRNA from 1 species